rnacentral:rRNA from 1 species
CGUACACUCCUACGGGAGGCAGCAGUGGGGAAUUUUGGACAAUGGGCGAAAGCCUGAUCCAGCCAUGCCGCGUGCAGGAUGAAGGCCUUCGGGUUGUAAACUGCUUUUGUACGGAACGAAACGGCCUUUUCUAAUAAAGAGGGCUAAUGACGGUACCGUAAGAAUAAGCACCGGCUAACUACGUGCCAGCAGCCGCGGUAAUACGUAGGGUGCAAGCGUUAAUCGGAAUUACUGGGCGUAAAGCGUGCGCAGGCGGUUAUGUAAGACAGUUGUGAAAUCCCCGGGCUCAACCUGGGAACUGCAUCUGUGACUGCAUAGCUAGAGUACGGUAGAGGGGGAUGGAAUUCCGCGUGUAGCAGUGAAAUGCGUAGAUAUGCGGAGGAACACCGAUGGCGAAGGCAAUCCCCUGGACCUGUACUGACGCUCAUGCACGAAAGCGUGGGGAGCAAACAGGAUUAGAUACCCUUGUAGUCCCAUA